GGAGAAACUGCUUUCGGUUGAGAAACACAUAGAUUUCUUUCUUAGACCCCGUCAGACACCAAAGCCUACUUCUCCAGUGCAGGAGCAACUUCCUCAGAAGGACAAGCAGCAAACUGAUGCAGAACCAGCAACUAAGAGAGCAGUCCCACCAUCGGCAGAUGCAGCAGCAACGUUUUUAGACGUUAGCACGACAGCAGCAAGCAAAGCAACAGUAGACCAUGCUAUUGUGAACCCACCAGAUGUCACAGCUUCAACAGUCUUCGAUCCAGCUUCAGCAACCUCAAUCCCUUGAUGGUUGAAAUAUAUGCAACAAAACAGUAUUAUUGACUUGCAACAUGAUUGUUUUGGAUAAUUCUAUUGUUUAUGUUUCGUGCACUCGUUAACUCAUG
rnacentral:misc_RNA from 1 species